rnacentral:rRNA from 1 species
UACGAAGGGGGCUAGCGUUGCUCGGAAUCACUGGGCGUAAAGGGUGCGUAGGCGGGUCUUUAAGUCAGGGGUGAAAUCCUGGAGCUCAACUCCAGAACUGCCUUUGAUACUGAGGAUCUUGAGUUCGGGAGAGGUGAGUGGAACUGCGAGUGUAGAGGUGAGAUUCGUAGAUAUUCGCAAGAACACCAGUGGCGAAGGCGGCUCACUGGCCCGAUACUGACGCUGAGGCACGAAAGCGUGGGGAGCAAACAGG